UACAGAGGGGGCAAGCGUUGUUCGGAAUUACUGGGCGUAAAGGGCGCGUAGGCGGCCUUCUAAGUCGAACGUGAAAUCCCCGGGCUCAACCCGGGAACUGCGUCCGAUACUGGAAGGCUUGAAUCCGGGAGAGGGAUGCGGAAUUCCAGGUGUAGCGGUGAAAUGCGUAGAUAUCUGGAGGAACACCGGUGGCGAAGGCGGCAUCCUGGACCGACACUGACACUGAGGAGCGAAAGCCAGGGGAGCAAACGGGG
rnacentral:rRNA from 1 species